UGAACUUCGUGGCUAUUCCAACACAUGAAAAAAAAUGCCGCAACGCCAUGUCCUGCUUAUUUAGUUUGUUGCAGCAACAGGUCAGAUGAGUGGCGUCACGAAAAGAAAGUAUGUGGUAUUGCUUACUCUGAAAGUAGGGGGUAAAACUAGUAUAUGCAUGGACGCCAUCAACCAAAGAAUGGUGUUAAUUAUGAGACCCCAGCCUCAACUGUUCUGACAAUGAAAAUGCGCAUAAGCAUUCAAAUACAGGCAUACAGCAGAUCAGGAGGCGCAUAGAGGCAGAGAAAACAGAAAACAUACAAAGAACAUGAGCUGUGCGUCGGGAUUCAUCUUUCAACUUUCUUUUGCUGUAUAUAAGCCGCGCUAUAUUCAGUUAUCUUCGCUAUAUUCAGUUAUCUUCCAGGGCGCUCUUCUUGACCAUCCCCUCAGUUUUCCUCCGGUCACCAACUAUCUAUCCUUCUUAUUAACAUCACCCAUCUUUUUGAUUGACCAAAAAGAGAAGCGAGACUGAGCAGCCAUAUACAAAGCAAUGCUGUUUAGUUUCUGUCGGAAAGCAGUCAUCAAAGUCGCCAUCUCUGUUUUUUUUUCUUGUUCAUGUACAUUGCUGUGAGUUUAUUA
rnacentral:lncRNA from 1 species